CUAAAUGGUAUUGCCGAGAUUUUCUUCUAGAGUUCUUAUAGUUUUGGGUCUUACAUUUAAGUCUUUCAUCCAUCUUGAGUUAAUUUUGUAUAAGGUGUAAGGAAGGGAUUCAGUUUCGAUUUUCUGCAUUGGCUAGCCAGUUCUCACAGAACCAUUUAUUAAAUAGGGAAUCUUUUCCCCAUUGCUUGUUUUUGUCAGGUUUGUCUAAAAAUCAGCUGUUU